AAGUGCGUUUUAGGAUGAUUACUGGGGGCGAGCGAGCGAAAGAGAUUAUGUGGGCUGUACACAACUGUUGUUUUAAUCCGCAGAGCGAAGAGAUUUAGCAAAAAAGCACGGGUUUCUCCCCUAGCAGCCAUAUUGUAUGGACAUUUGGUGGAAAAAGCAGUAGGAAAAAAACACUUUCUGGAAGACCUUUGCCAAGACUUUGAGAGUUGAUUUUAAACUCACUGGCGGUGGGAUUCCGUUCAAUAGCCAGCAGUCCAGCUGGUUGACGAAUUUCACCGAUUGGGGAUCGUAUUUUUUUUUAAAUUAUAGAUUACUAUAUUUAUUUUUUUGCUUGUUUUAUUAACAGUCGGCAACAUGAAGGACCGAUUGGAACAACUCAAAGCUACAUGCGACAAUGACGAUGAGGAAGUGGAAAUUGCAAUUGACAAUGCAGCUUUUAUGGAUGAGUUCUUUUCUCAGAUCGAGGACAUCAGGAACAGUAUUGAUAAGAUUGAUGAGAAUGUCUCUGAAGUCAAGAAGCUCUACUCAGUCAUACUGUCUGCCCCCACAUCAGACCAGAAAACGCAGGAUGACUUGGAGGCUGUCACCAACGACAUCAAGAAGAUGGCUAACAACGCCCGCAACAAACUCAAAACCAUCGAGAGGAAUCUGGAGUCUGAGGAAGAGGAGAGGAUUUCAGCCGACAUGCGGAUACGCAAAUCACAGCAUGCAGUGCUGUCCAGGAAGUUUGUGGACGUGAUGACCAAGUACAACGAGGCACAGCUGGACUUCAGGGAGAGGAGUAAAGGACGCAUCCAGAGACAGCUAGAGAUCACUGGCAAAGCUACGACAGACGAGGAGCUUGAAGAGAUGUUAGAGGGUGGAAACUCGGCCGUUUUCACUUCAGGGAUCAUGGACUCUGGGAUCUCGAAGCAGGCUCUCAGUGAGAUCGAGGCGCGACACAAAGACAUUGUGCGUCUGGAGAGCAGCAUCAAAGAGCUACAUGACAUGUUCGUAGACAUCGCCAUGCUAGUGGAGAGCCAGGUACACUCCUCCUGUCUCAGCCAUCUAUUCAGUCAUCCAUCCAUCAUUAUUUCAGAUCUCUACCCUACAUUUUAACCCUACUGUGUCUAACGUUGUUUCUCUCCUGCUCGCUCCCUCUUUCUGUCUGCCUCCGUCUGUCAACCGUUCUGUUUUUCCCUUCUCUUUCCCAGGAACCUCUCCCUUUCUCCUGGUCGUUCUCUGUUCCUUCCCCCGCUUCUUCUGCGCUACUUUCCUUUCUCCAUGUUUUGGGGACAGAGUUCCCCUUGUGUCUGUGUCCAUCUCUCUCCCUCCCAUAACUCAUUCAUCUUCAGUACGAGUCUCCAUUCUUAGUAAGAGUCACAUUUGACAUAGCCACAUUGGAAUCGACACAACCCCAUACUGUAUAGUCACCACAGCUACAUCUAAUCUAUGUAACCACAUGUAUCUUGUUGGUUAUCCUAUGCUGUCUGAGGGGAAGUCGUGUGCAAGGGUGACAUUGUAAACAAUAUAGAAGCUCAAGUUUGUAAAGCGCAGGACCACAUAGCAGUGGCUAAGACUGAGACCAAAAAAGCCAUCAGGUACCAGAGCAAAGCACGCAAGAAGACAAUCAUUAUAGCAGUGGUCUGUGCUGUGCUCGCUGUCCUCAUCCUCGCCAUCAUCCUAUCACAGACAGUGGGGUAAUAGAGGGACCACGCCCCCUAACCUCACCCUCUUCAUUCAUCUUCAUCAUCACCCAAUCUUACCCUCCUCCAGCUGUGAAGCCAAAGAGGGGGAUGAAGACUCAACCUAUCCCUCCCCUUUCCCUUGGACACCCCCCCCCCCUCUCUUACUGUAACUAUAGAAAAAGGCCCAGCCAGUGGGACGUCCUAGUUGGAGCAGGCUGGUGUCCCCCUUGAGGUGGCUGAGAGGAUGAGCAUCAGGUGGGAGAGAAACAAGGGGACCAAAGCUGAGACUGGUUAUUAGCCCCUGAUAAAGCUAAACAAAAAAAAGGGAAUCUGAAGAAGUGGAGAUCUUCACCCUCACACACAACUAAAUGGACGCCAUGCAACAUUUCAUUGAAGUUCUCUGAACUGCCUUCUAUUUUUCCAAUAAUGUCAAUCAUUUGAUUGAUCUUGAUCCAAACUUAUGGGAAUCUGACACUCCUUUCCCCAUUGCAAAAACCUCCAUCCACUUAAUGUACCCCCGCCACCACCCUUGCCUUGUUGUCUUGCCAUUUAUGAACCUCCAAGCUGAAAAGUAGCCUCCUCCAGCUCACAGAGGAAUGGUGCAUUGUUUAACUCACCUAUGAUUCUUGUGUUAAGGAGAGACACGAGUGGAUUUCACUUCAGUCUAUGUGAAAGCAAUGACUCUGUGCAUGUUUGAUGCCACUUGAAUAGUUAAAAAAAAAUCCUAAAGCACACCUUACCUCUGAGCGUUUGGGAGAGAUCUUCGUAUAACAUCUGAUUUGCUUCUUAUGCCUUCCUUUACAGUCUGUCCAAUCAAAUUCAUUUCAUGCACCCCACACCUCAGAUGCGGUAGCCAAUGACGAGGCUCUAAAUGGGACAUUGAGGGUCUGGAAAUUUCAAGCUGAACAUUUGAAGAUCGUUUUUUUAAUUGUAUUUUUAAAUGUAAUCUUCACUGUAGUAUUAUGAUGGAUUCCAGAGAUUUUAAUGAAGGAAUAAAAUAUUUAGAUUUGUAA